AGAGAGAGACAUGCGCGCAUAUCAAUAAGCGGAGGAAAAGAAACUAACAAGGAUUCCCCUAGUAACGGCGAGUGAAGCGGGAAGAGCUCAAAUUUGAAAUCUUAAAGGGUUUCCCUUUACGAAUUGUAGUUUAAAGAAGUGUUUUCUGUUGAGGUUUUGGUAAAAGUUCUUUGGAAUAGGACAUCAUAGAGGGUGAGAAUCCCGUAUUUGACCUUUACUUUCAACUUUGUGAUACACUUUCAAAGAGUCGGAUUGUUUGGGAAUGCAGUCCAAAAUGGGUGGUAAAUUUCAUCUAAAGCUAAAUAUUGGCGAGAGACCGAUAGCGAACAAGUACCGUGAGGGAAAGAUGAAAAGAACUUUGAAAAGAGAGUUAAACAGUACGUGAAAUUGUCAAAAGGGAAGCGUUUGACACCAGUGUUGUUUUUCUGAAAAUCAAUUAAAGAACUGUUUAUGCUAAGCUGUUUAGACUUUAUCAGCUAACUGUUUAGUUUUGAGCUUUUCUUUAAUGCACUCUUCAGUUAACAAGUCAACAUCAAUUUCUUUUGCUGUAAAAAGCUUGAGGAAGGUGGCUUGAGAUUCGUCUUAAGUGUUUAUAGCCUCUUGCCUAUGCAGUCGGAGAGAUUGAGGUCUGCAGCGUAGAUCCUUCGGGGCUAAAUGCAUUUGUGCUAAGUUAUAACAUUUUAUAGACAACUUGUUGACUAUGAUUUGUCUUGUAGCUUACUCGCUUAUGUUAUUUUACCUACGCUUAGGAUGUUGAGCGCAUGUCUCUCUCU
rnacentral:rRNA from 1 species